UUCGGUAGGGAGGGCCCGCCCCCGCCCCAACUUGUUGCUCGGAGUGCGCAAGCGCGAAUGCCUGCGGGAGAGAGCUAGAUCGCCGGGCGGCAUUUAGGGUUUGACGGUGGGCUACUAGGGGAGGGGCUUCAAGGCUGCCCAGGAAUGGACGAAGCGAGUUCUGCGAGCCCGUUUUGUGUUUGUAGCUGAGGAAGCCCUAGUAUGGCUUAGAAUGCACUUGGCACCAACAAGCACAUAAUCUUCAGUUGCCAGCCAUCAGUUGCCUUCCCGAAGCAGACAAUCCUUCUUUGGUGAGAUAACUGUACACCUGUCAUAAUGCUGACAUUUCCAUCCUUGAGCCACUCCUUCUGGUUAUAGCAGCAUCUGCCAAAGUGGAAUUACAUCCGCAGUAGGUAUUCGGAAUGGGAGUUCUGUAUAGUAAAGUCUGAGAUACACUGGUCAGAUAAAAUGAAACUUUUUUGGAUAGUCUUUUGUUAGGCACUUAAUGUGAAUUUUUUUUCCCCCUCAAGAAAUAUAGUAUACAGAGUUCCCAGCCUUGUUUGGCUAUACAGUAAUUUUCCCAUUAUCACUAAAGUACUAGUGUUUCGUGGAACAUACUUUCAGAAAUUUUGAGUUAAGUACAGUCUCCAGAAGACCUCUGUUAGCAUGAAAACGAUACCAGGCAGGAGAAACAUACUGACCCAUUAGCAAAAACUAAUUUUGUUAUAGCACUUAAAAUACUUUUUGUGUUAAAAUAUUGUGUGUAUUGUUUGAAAUCAUGAGUGGGUCUAUUCUAGGUGAGUGAUUAUCCAAUGAUAUCUGCCCAAUCUGAACAAAAUGGACCGGGAAGUACAAGUCUUAAUGUAUAACUAUAGUGACAUUACAGAGGUUUGGUAGAAAAUAAAGUGUAAUAAUAUUCA